UACGUAGGGUCCGAGCGUUGUCCGGAAUUACUGGGCGUAAAGAGCUCGUAGGUGGUUUGUCGCGUUGUUCGUGAAAACUCACAGCUCAACUGUGGGCGUGCGGGCGAUACGGGCAGACUAGAGUACUGCAGGGGAGACUGGAAUUCCUGGUGUAGCGGUGGAAUGCGCAGAUAUCAGGAGGAACACCGAUGGCGAAGGCAGAUCUCUGGGCCGUAACUGACGCUGAGGAGCGAAAGCAUGGGGAGCGAACAGG
rnacentral:rRNA from 1 species